rnacentral:rRNA from 1 species
GGGGAAUAUUGCACAAUGGAGGAAACUCUGAUGCAGCAACGCCGCGUGAGUGAUGAAGGUCUUCGGAUUGUAAAGCUCUGUCUUCUGGGACGAUAAUGACGGUACCAGAGGAGGAAGCCACGGCUAACUACGUGCCAGCAGCCGCGGUAAUACGUAGGUGGCAAGCGUUGUCCGGAUUUACUGGGCGUAAAGGGAGCGUAGGUGGAUAUUUAAGUGGGAUGUGAAAUACUCGGGCUUAACCUGGGUGCUGCAUUCCAAACUGGAUAUCUAGAGUGCAGGAGAGGAAAGCAGAAUUCCUAGUGUAGCGGUGAAAUGCGUAGAGAUUAGGAAGAAUACCAGUGGCGAAGGCGGCUUUCUGGACUGUAACUGACGCUGAGGCAUGAAAGCGUGGGGAGCAAAC